rnacentral:rRNA from 1 species
UACGUAGGGUGCAAGCGUUGUCCGGAAUUAUUGGGCGUAAAGGGCGCGUAGGCGGCCUGAUAAGUCGGGGGUGAAAGCCUGUGGCUCAACCACAGAAUUGCCUUCGAUACUGUUAGGCUUGAGACCGGAAGAGGUAAGUGGAACUGCGAGUGUAGAGGUGAAAUUCGUAGAUAUUCGCAAGAACACCAGUGGCGAAGGCGGCCGACUGGUCCGGUUCUGACGCUGAGGCGCGAAAGCGUGGGGAGCAAACAGG